GAGAGAAUAUAAAGGGCAGGCAAUAUAUGGAGGCUAUUCCCUGAGGAAGUGCUGGAGAGCAUGCCAUGGCUUGAGAGAACGAAUUUCUGAGAUAGAGAUCUUUUAAAGCCAUCAGAACUAUUGCUGCCUAAGACAUGCAUGGCAAAUAAAAGUGUCUCACUGGAUUUCAAAUAAGGGGAAUAAUCAAUGUUAAGUGCUGCCUUGUUAGAUUUCUUCCUGAUUUUUUUGAAGCUCCGCUUCUUCUGUUUCAGAGCUAUGUUUCCCCAGUGGGCUACCACAUCUCUGGGUUUCCAGUACUUGGAAUUUUGCUUCCCAGUUGCAGAGCUAAGAAGCCAAUUCACAUUCCAUCGUUGUCCUAAAGUCUUUUUCCUAUUUUGAAUAUCCCAUCUUGUCUGGAUUUAUCAAGGGGGCUUGAAAAAUUUGUGCAGUGUUCCAAAAGCAGAGUAAAGGAGGAAAGGCCAGGAAGUAUGGGAGAGAGCCAGGCAAGUGGUGAGAGCCAAGAGUUCAGGUAAAUGAGAAGGCUUUACAUAAUGGGAGUUGCCCUGACAGAGAAAGUUUGGAUCUGCCUGGUCUGUACAAUAAGAUUUUCUUUUUGGUGCCUGUUUGGUAUAAUGGGACAGGAGGCACUGAUGUGUGUUGGCUCCGUGUCCCCACCAAAAUCUCACUUUGAAGUGUAAUGAUGCCCCUGUGUCAUGGGAGGGACCUUGUGGGAGGUAAUUGAAUCAUGGAGGUGUGCUUUUCCCAUGCUGUUCUUGUGAUAGUGAACAAGUCUCAUGAGCUCUGAUGGUUUUAUAAAGGGGAGUUCCCUGGCACACACUAUCUCUUGCCUGCUGCCAUGUAAGAUGUGUCUUUUGCCUUCCACCAUGAUUGUGAAGCCUCCCCAGCCAUGUAGAACUGUGAGUCCAUUAAAUCUCUUUUUCUUUAUAAAUUGCCCAGUCUCGGGUAUGUCUUUAUUAGCAGUAUGAGAACAGACUAAUACAGUAAAUUGGUACCAGGAGUGGGGUGC
rnacentral:lncRNA from 1 species